UAACACGUGGGGAACCUGCCCCUAAGUCUGGGAUACCAUUUGGAAACAGGUGCUAAUACCGGAUAAUAAAGCAGAUCGCAUGAUCAGCUUUUGAAAGGCGGCGUAAGCUGUCGCUAAGGGAUGGCCCCGCGGUGCAUUAGCUAGUUGGUAAGGUAACGGCCUACCAAGGCGAUGAUGCAUAGCCGAGUUGAGAGACUGAUCGGCCACAUUGGGACUGAGACACGGCCCAAACUCCUACGGGAGGCAGCAGAC
rnacentral:rRNA from 1 species